rnacentral:tRNA from 1 species
GAACUAUUAACUCAGUUGGCAGAGUAUCGCUCUUUUAAAGCGAGAGUCCUCAGUUCGAGUCUGAGAUAGUUCA